GGUUAAGCGACUAAGCGUACACGGUGGAUGCCCUGGCAGUCAGAGGCGAUGAAGGACGUGCUAAUCUGCGAUAAGCGUCGGUAAGGUGAUAUGAACCGUUAUAACCGGCGAUUUCCGAAUGGGGAAACCCAGUGUGUUUCGACACACUAUCAUUAACUGAAUCCAUAGGUUAAUGAGGCGAACCGGGGGAACUGAAACAUCUAAGUACCCCGAGGAAAAGAAAUCAACCGAGAUUCCCCCAGUAGCGGCGAGCGAACGGGGAGCAGCCCAGAGCCUGAAUCAGUGUGUGUGUUAGUGGAAGCGUCUGGAAAGGCGCGCGAUACAGGGUGACAGCCCCGUACACAAAAAUGCACAUACUGUGAGCUCGAUGAGUAGGGCGGGACACGUGGUAUCCUGUCUGAAUAUGGGGGGACCAUCCUCCAAGGCUAAAUACUCCUGACUGACCGAUAGUGAACCAGUACCGUGAGGGAAAGGCGAAAAGAACCCCGGCGAGGGGAGUGAAAAAGAACCUGAAACCGUGUACGUACAAGCAGUGGGAGCACGCUUAGGCGUGUGACUGCGUACCUUUUGUAUAAUGGGUCAGCGACUUAUAUUCUGUAGCAAGGUUAACCGAAUAGGGGAGCCGAAGGGAAACCGAGUCUUAACUGGGCGUUAAGUUGCAGGGUAUAGACCCGAAACCCGGUGAUCUAGCCAUGGGCAGGUUGAAGGUUGGGUAACACUAACUGGAGGACCGAACCGACUAAUGUUGAAAAAUUAGCGGAUGACUUGUGGCUGGGGGUGAAAGGCCAAUCAAACCGGGAGACAGCUGGUUCUCCCCGAAAGCUAUUUAGGUAGCGCCUCGUGAACUCAUCUCCGGGGGUAGAGCACUGUUUCGGCAAGGGGGUCAUCCCGACUUACCAACCCGAUGCAAACUGCGAAUACCGGAGAAUGUUAUCACGGGAGACACACGGCGGGUGCUAACGUCCGUCGUGAAGAGGGAAACAACCCAGACCGCCAGCUAAGGUCCCAAAGUCAUGGUUAAGUGGGAAACGAUGUGGGAAGGCCCAGACAGCCAGGAUGUUGGCUUAGAAGCAGCCAUCAUUUAAAGAAAGCGUAAUAGCUCACUGGUCGAGUCGGCCUGCGCGGAAGAUGUAACGGGGCUAAACCAUGCACCGAAGCUGCGGCAGCGACGCUGAUGCGUUGUUGGGUAGGGGAGCGUUCUGUAAGCCUGUGAAGGUGUGCUGUGAGGCAUGCUGGAGGUAUCAGAAGUGCGAAUGCUGACAUAAGUAACGAUAAAGCGGGUGAAAAGCCCGCUCGCCGGAAGACCAAGGGUUCCUGUCCAACGUUAAUCGGGGCAGGGUGAGUCGACCCCUAAGGCGAGGCCGAAAGGCGUAGUCGAUGGGAAACAGGUUAAUAUUCCUGUACUUGGUGUUACUGCGAAGGGGGGACGGAGAAGGCUAUGUUGGCCGGGCGACGGUUGUCCCGGUUUAAGCGUGUAGGCUGGUUUUCCAGGCAAAUCCGGAAAAUCAAGGCUGAGGCGUGAUGACGAGGCACUACGGUGCUGAAGCAACAAAUGCCCUGCUUCCAGGAAAAGCCUCUAAGCAUCAGGUAACAUCAAAUCGUACCCCAAACCGACACAGGUGGUCAGGUAGAGAAUACCAAGGCGCUUGAGAGAACUCGGGUGAAGGAACUAGGCAAAAUGGUGCCGUAACUUCGGGAGAAGGCACGCUGAUAUGUAGGUGAAGUCCCUCGCGGAUGGAGCUGAAAUCAGUCGAAGAUACCAGCUGGCUGCAACUGUUUAUUAAAAACACAGCACUGUGCAAACACGAAAGUGGACGUAUACGGUGUGACGCCUGCCCGGUGCCGGAAGGUUAAUUGAUGGGGUCAGCGCAAGCGAAGCUCUUGAUCGAAGCCCCGGUAAACGGCGGCCGUAACUAUAACGGUCCUAAGGUAGCGAAAUUCCUUGUCGGGUAAGUUCCGACCUGCACGAAUGGCGUAAUGAUGGCCAGGCUGUCUCCACCCGAGACUCAGUGAAAUUGAACUCGCUGUGAAGAUGCAGUGUACCCGCGGCAAGACGGAAAGACCCCGUGAACCUUUACUAUAGCUUGACACUGAACAUUGAGCCUUGAUGUGUAGGAUAGGUGGGAGGCUUAGAAGUGUGGACGCCAGUCUGCAUGGAGCCGACCUUGAAAUACCACCCUUUAAUGUUUGAUGUUCUAACGUUGACCCGUAAUCCGGGUUGCGGACAGUGUCUGGUGGGUAGUUUGACUGGGGCGGUCUCCUCCUAAAGAGUAACGGAGGAGCACGAAGGUUGGCUAAUCCUGGUCGGACAUCAGGAGGUUAGUGCAAUGGCAUAAGCCAGCUUGACUGCGAGCGUGACGGCGCGAGCAGGUGCGAAAGCAGGUCAUAGUGAUCCGGUGGUUCUGAAUGGAAGGGCCAUCGCUCAACGGAUAAAAGGUACUCCGGGGAUAACAGGCUGAUACCGCCCAAGAGUUCAUAUCGACGGCGGUGUUUGGCACCUCGAUGUCGGCUCAUCACAUCCUGGGGCUGAAGUAGGUCCCAAGGGUAUGGCUGUUCGCCAUUUAAAGUGGUACGCGAGCUGGGUUUAGAACGUCGUGAGACAGUUCGGUCCCUAUCUGCCGUGGGCGCUGGAGAACUGAGGGGGGCUGCUCCUAGUACGAGAGGACCGGAGUGGACGCAUCACUGGUGUUCGGGUUGUCAUGCCAAUGGCACUGCCCGGUAGCUAAAUGCGGAAGAGAUAAGUGCUGAAAGCAUCUAAGCACGAAACUUGCCCCGAGAUGAGUUCUCCCUGACUCCUUGAGAGUCCUGAAGGAACGUUGAAGACGACGACGUUGAUAGGCCGGGUGUGUAAGCGCAGCGAUGCGUUGAGCUAACCGGUACUAAUGAACCGUGAGGCUUAACCUU
rnacentral:rRNA from 1 species